UGGGCUUCAGAGAUGAGGUCCUUCAGUUCGGCUGGCGUCCACACAGGUGCUGCAUGGCUGUCGUCAGCUCGUGUCGUGAGAUGUUGGGUUAAGUCCCGCAACGAGCGCAACCCCCAUCUUCAGUUGCCAUCAUUUAGUUGGGCACUCUGGAGAAACUGCCGGUGACAAGCCGGAGGAAGGCGGGGAUGACGUCAAGUCCUCAUGGCCCUUACGGGUUGGGCUACACACGUGCUACAAUGGUGGUGACAAUGGGUUGCGAGGUCGCGAGGCCAAGCUAAUCUCAAAAAGCCAUCUCAGUUCGGAUUGUACUCUGCAACUCGAGUACAUGAAGUUGGAAUCGCUAGUAAUCGCGCAUCAGCAUGGCGCGGUGAAUACGUUCCCGGGCCUUGUACACACCGCCCGUCACACCAUGGGAGUUGGUUCUACCCGAAGCCGGUGCGCUAACCGCAAGGAGGCAGCCGACCACGGUAGGGUCAGUGACUGGGGUGAAGUCGUAACAAGGUAAGCGUAGUGCU
rnacentral:rRNA from 1 species